rnacentral:misc_RNA from 1 species
GAAAUGCGAUAAGUAAUGUGAAUUGCAGAAUUCAGUGAAUCAUCGAAUCUUUGAACGCACAUUGCGCCCCCUGGUAUUCCGGGGGGCAUGCCUGUUCGAGCGUCAUUUCACCACUCAAGCCUCGCUUGGUAUUGGGCGACGCGGUCCGCCGUGCGCCUCAAAUCGACCGGCUGGGUCUUUCGUCCCCUCAGCGUUGUGGAAACUAUUCGCUAAAGGGUGCCGCGGGAGGCCACGCCGUAAAACAACCCCAUUUCUAAGGUUGACCUCGGAUCAGGUAGGGAUACCCGCUGAACUUAAGC